AUACUCUGUGUGGAUGACGGUACCGGCAUAAGAAGCACCGGCUAACUACGUGCCAGCAGCCGCGGUAAUACGUAGGGUGCGAGCGUUAAUCGGAAUUACUGGGCGUAAAGCGUGCGCAGGCGGUUGGGUAAGUUUGAUGUGAAAUCCCCGGGCUCAACCUGGGAACUGCAUUGAAGACUGUCUGACUAGAGUACGGCAGAGGGGGGUGGAAUUCCACGUGUAGCAGUGAAAUGCGUAGAGAUGUGGAGGAACACCGAUGGCGAAGGCAGCCCCCUGGGUCGAUACUGACGCUCAUGCACGAAAGCGUGGGGAGCAAACAGGAUUAGAUACCCUGGUAGUCCACGCCCUAAACGAUGUCAACUAGUUGUUGGUAGGGUUAAACCUAUUAGUAACGUAGCUAACGCGUGAAG
rnacentral:rRNA from 1 species